rnacentral:piRNA from 1 species
CGCAGCGGGGCUGCAGGGGCUGGGGUA